UACAGAGGGUGCGCGCGUUGUUCGGAAUUACUGGGCGUAAAGCGUGCGCAGGCGGCUUCUCAAGUCAGGGGUGAAAGCCCAGAGCUCAACUCUGGAAUUGCCUUUGAGACUGAGAGGCUUGAGUACGGGAGAGGUGAGUGGAAUUCCCAGUGUAGAGGUGAAAUUCGUAGAUAUUGGGAAGAACACCGGUGGCGAAGGCGGCUCACUGGCCCGAAACUGACGCUCAUGCACGACAGCGUGGGGAUCAAACAGG
rnacentral:rRNA from 1 species